rnacentral:lncRNA from 1 species
AGCAAAUCGACAGGAUUACUUGAUCUGUAAUAUUAAAAACAAAAGUCAUUGUUCCCAGUUGCUAAUUAAAGUGAAAGGCAAAAGAAAAUGAAGACCACAAGAUGGAGCAUCGUCGGUUUAUUGUGAGCGGCAAACUAUUUCUUUAAAACAAAAUAUUCUUUCCACAUGUAGAUAUGUAUUUAUUAUUACACUGUAUUGCUGCUAGUGAACAUAUUGAUGAUAUAAAUCAGUUAAACAUGAUACAACCAGAAUUUAAUGUUGAAAGCCUAUAUUACUAUUUACUCCUCUUCCCAGCAUCUGUGGUAGUUAUUGUUGUAUGUUUAUUUCUGAACUGGUUUGGACUGAAACUUUUCCAACACAACUAAACCCACCAGUAAAGAAUUUGUCAAGGAGCUGUGUGUAUGAGAAAUGUUAAUAUUAUUUAAAUAAAACUUUUUAAACUGGUGUAAAAA